rnacentral:rRNA from 1 species
GAUCAUGGCUCAGGACGAACGCUGGCGGCGUGCUUAACACAUGCAAGUCGAACGAGAAUCUACUGUAAAGAGUUUUCGGACAAUGGAAGUAGAGGAAAGUGGCGGACGGGUGAGUAACGCGUGAGGAACCUGCCUUGAAGAGGGGGACAACAGUUGGAAACGACUGCUAAUACCGCAUGAAGCAUAGGGGUCGCAUGAUUCUUAUGCCAAAGAUUUAUCGCUUCAAGAUUGGCCUGCG